GGACUACAAGGGUUUCUAAUCCUGUUUGCUCCCCUAGCUUUCGUGCCUCAGAGUCAGUUACAGUCCAGAGAGCCGUCUUCACCACCGGCGUUCCUCUCGAUAUCAACGCAUUUCACCGCUACACCGAGAAUUCCGCUCUCCUCUCCUGCACUCUAGCCGUGUAGUUUCGAAUGCAGUUUUGCCGAUGAACAGCAAGAUUUCACAUCCGACACACACGACCUCCUACGCACCCUUUACGCCCAGUAAAUCCGAACAACGCUUGCCACCUCUGUAUUACCGCGGCGGCUGGCAC
rnacentral:misc_RNA from 1 species